rnacentral:lncRNA from 1 species
GGUCAUUCAAAAAUCAAAGAAGGGAAAGGUCAAAAUCCGGAAAGGGACAAAGGGAUGUGAGAAGACAAGACUCAAGAGCUACAACUUGGAUAUACAGUUGGCAAUCGGGAACAGGAGCACCAGCAGUUGCUGCUAAAAAUCACGGGUUUCCUUUGUGUUUCAGUGCGUGAAUGUGUGCUGCUGGGGAGGGUCACUCAUUGUUCAGCCAAACAUUUCUACGACCUUCCAUGUGACAAAUUGACCAACAACACGUUCGGAUGCUUCGCUGAUCGAGGGGAAUGGACUGCACCACCCCUUGUGUACUUUGAGCUGUCGCCUGUCUUGUACGCGCAACCAUUUCCAGCCAUUUCUUGAUGUGAGUGGUCAUCAUUAUUAUAAGGGAAGAGAAAAAAAAAAAAAGAAAAGGGUUAACUUUUGUGAGAAAAUGUUAACAUUCUUCUAAUUUAUAUUAAUUUUGAAGGUGUUUUUUUUUAUUUUAGUAUUUUAGUGGUGGUUUAAUGUUGUUUAAGUGCUUUCACUUUGAGUUGCUAAAAUGUUGAAUUGUAAUCUAUUGGUAUUAAUUUUGUCAUCGUGACAUAAUUGUAAUUUCGUCGAAAAAAGCGUUUUUUAUUUGGUGCAAAUAUGAGAAUUGCUUCUUAAAUUCUACUCCUUUCUGUCAUCAUGACUAAAUCGUAAUUUCAACAACAGAAAUGUUUUCAAUUUAGGGUCAUUAUGGGAAUCAUUAGUG